rnacentral:tRNA from 1 species
GGGGUUGUGGCUCAGUGGUAGAGCACUUGCCUGGCAUAUGUGUGUGAACCCUGAGUUCAAAUCUCAGCACCACA